CUGGAGACGCAGCUGCUUCAAAUCCCUUUAAUCCACCAAUCAAAAUCUGUCAACGUUGAAUUGCAUCAGAAAUAGAAAAUGCAUGUGGCUGAGAGACGUAUAUAGGCCUACUGACACAGGAAGAGUAGCCACUGACACAAUAUUUUGAAGAAAAAUAACAUUGAGAAUGUAAUCCACAAUGAGUGACGCGCUUACGCACGAGUUUUACGCCUCAAAUUAUACAUUUAUUGGUCUUUGUUCAAGUUGAAUGGUCCCAGAUCCGUAUUUAAUACUUUAUUGUCAUCAGUAUUACUGACACCUAAGAAUUGGUCUAUUGCACAAUAUUUUAACAAUUGGUUAUAAUAGUACUAGGGAUAGAUGCCUUCCCAUUCACCUCCCAUAGAAACAUCCUGAUUUGAAGUGAAACAAUAAGAUCUAUAUUCUUUGUUAAUAAUAAAAAAAUGUCAUAUUGUCUUCCUCCCUGUCUUGAACUUUGAAAAAGUGGUAGGCCCCGGGCUGUUUAUUGCUUAUAUUCCAAACAAAGAGCCUGGAAAGCCUGCACGUUAUCAAUCUUGCUCGCCAAAAGGUCUGACAGCUCCUUGCCCUAAGAACACAUUUCAACCAUCUAACUCUGCCUUAGAUCAUAUGUGGCCGCCAGGAAGACGGCAACAACUUGCUACUUAUGGGGGGAAACUACACAACUUGGACGUUUCUUAAAUAGGAAUCCAUUUCCGAAUAUGGAUGUUCUACAUAGAGCAGACAAUGAUAUCGACAUACAUUAUAGGUGGGUUAUCGUAUCCUGCUUUAUUUUGAUAAAUGGAAGGAAAAUCUACAACAUUUUCGUUUUCAAAAGAACAACGUUAGUGGGAAAUAGCAGCAAAAGAGUGGAUUGACUGAGAUGGCGAGAAAAAAUGGAAUGGACUUGCUUUUCCACGGCGUCUAUUGUCUGCAGAGAGUAGGGGACAUGAGCUACAUUAACCGUCUGUCCCCCCGUCAAGACAAGACGAGACACCUGGGAGGCGUGGGAGGAAGAACAAAAAUGGACUAGAAGUUAACCUUUUUUCUCUUCGAGGACUAAGGUUACUUAUUGGAUGAAAGUAAACGUUUCCAGAUUAUGUUGUUAGAAUACUUUACUAUUCCACAUGUAAAUGGUUAUCAACAGCAGUACCAAGCAGUAGCAGAAUAGCUGCACUAGGCCUGUUCAUUUUGGGAUCAAUAUAAUAGCGAGAAUAACCAGACAUUAAUCAUGUUUUCAUUGUAAUUAAUGUUAAUAAUCUAGCUGAUAUCUGAUCAUUUUUACUUUGACGUUUCCUGUUUAAAAAAGAAAGGAUCCUGUUUUAUGGCGAAUUCGCUUCAAGUCAGUUCAUUGUUAGAUCGAAGACAGAUGACAUUGAUGAAAGGUCAGUUAAUAGUUUGAUGUUUGCAUUGUCUUAUUUCUAUUCCUGAAUUUCCUGAGCACAAUAAAACGUUCUCUCACAUG